AUUGCAUCAGCUUCUUCUGAAAAGUUGCCAGAGACAACACUCUUCAAACGGGCAUUUGAUGUGAAAGCAGCUCGAUCACUUGUUCUAGAGAUCAUCAAGGCUGGAGCAACGCUAUACGACGAUUUGGCGACCGAAAUGCAGCUUCAGGGAGAGCGAAACAUGGCUGCUUCGACAAACACUGACAUUGAGCAGAUUGAGAAUUUGGUUAGAGAAGGC